UCAAACUUGGUCAUUUAGAGGAAGUAAAAGUCGUAACAAGGUUUCCGUAGGUGAACCUGCGGAAGGAUCAUUAUCGAGUUCUUUGAAGUGGGUCUUUCUGAUGCUGGCGCCUCUGUGGUGCAUGUGCUCGGGACCCCGCUCAUCCACUCAACCCCUGUGCACUUUUCGAAGUCUGUCGUCGGCUCCCAUUUGGAGCAGCUGGAGGUUUGGCCCUUAGUUGAGCCAUUCUCUUUGGCCGGGUCGUCGACGCUUCGUAUUAUUACAAACAACUUAUAAGUCUUGUAGAAUGUGAAGCCUCAUUGUGGGCGAAACUUAAUACAACUUUCAACAACGGAUCUCUUGGCUCUCGCAUCGAUGAAGAACGCAGC
rnacentral:misc_RNA from 1 species